CCCAAUAAAGAUAAAUCUAAAACAAAGGCUAAACCCAAACUCUAUUACUCCCAACCAAAAUCUCAGUACCAAGGCUUAACUGCUCGAUCUCAACUAUCUAAAUCAAUCUUGUGGAUGGGUAGACAUCUAUACUCCAAACCUAUCAUAACCUUCAAACCGCUAUCCAAAAGAGUUAAGAUUCCAACCCUAAGUCAACAAGUCCAAACCAGG
rnacentral:lncRNA from 1 species